UGACGCUGGCGGCAGGCCUAACACAUGCAAGUCGAGCGGAUGAGUGGAGCUUGCUCCAUGAUUCAGCGGCGGACGGGUGAGUAAUGCCUAGGAAUCUGCCUGGUAGUGGGGGAUAACGUUUCGAAAGGAACGCUAAUACCGCAUACGUCCUACGGGAGAAAGUGGGGGAUCUUCGGACCUCACGCUAUCAGAUGAGCCUAGGUCGGAUUAGCUAGUUGGUGGGGUAAUGGCCCACCAAGGCGACGAUCCGUAACUGGUCUGAGAGGAUGAUCAGUCACACUGGAACUGAGACACGGUCCAGACUCCUACGGGAGGCAGCAGUGGGGAAUAUUGGACAAUGGGCGAAAGCCUGAUCCAGCCAUGCCGCGUGUGUGAAGAAGGUCUUCGGAUUGUAAAGCACUUUAAGUUGGGAGGAAGGGCAGUAAGUUAAUACCUUGCUGUUUUGACGUUACCAACAGAAUAAGCACCGGCUAACUUCGUGCCAGCAGCCGCGGUAAUACGAAGGGUGCAAGCGUUAAUCGGAAUUACUGGGCGUAAAGCGCGCGUAGGUGGUUCAGCAAGUUGGAUGUGAAAGCCCCGGGCUCAACCUGGGAAUUGCAUCCAAAACUACUGAGCUAGAGUACGGUAGAGGGUGGUGGAAUUUCCUGUGUAGCGGUGAAAUGCGUAGAUAUAGGAAGGAACACCAGUGGCGAAGGCGACCACCUGGACUGAUACUGACACUGAGGUGCGAAAGCGUGGGGAGCAAACAGGAUUAGAUACCCUGGUAGUCCACGCCGUAAACGAUGUCGACUAGCCGUUGGGAUCCUUGAGAUCUUAGUGGCGCAGCUAACGCGAUAAGUCGACCGCCUGGGGAGUACGGCCGCAGGUUAAACUCA
rnacentral:rRNA from 1 species